UACGUAGGGGGCAAGCGUUGUCCGGAUUUAUUGGGCGUAAAGCGCUCGCAGGUGGUCCGUUGCGUCGUGCGUGAAAGACCCCGGCUCAACUGGGGAGUGUCGUGCGAUACGGGCGGACUGGAGGCCAGUAGGGGGAUGCGGAAUUCCGGGUGUAGUGGUGGAAUGCGUAGAGAUCCGGAGGAACACCAGCGGCGAAGGCGGACAUCCUGGACCUGGUCCUGAC
rnacentral:rRNA from 1 species